rnacentral:lncRNA from 1 species
GCCCACUUGGGCCUGCAGGGGCAAUCAUUAACCUGUGGGGCUCCUGUGCUGAGCUCUGCCUGCCCACGGGUGCCAGAGCUCUGAUGGAGGAGUGCUGCCCACCCAUGGGGCAGCCCGCAGGCUGCGGGGACUGCUUCAGGCAGCUGAACUGUUCUCUCCGGCUUACAGAUCGAUUCCAGAGAUGUUUCAAGGGAGGGGAGCCGAGGGGAAGCAAGACUUGCAGAGGGAACCGGCCUGGCCUUUUUGAAUUCAACUGCAGAGUUAGUUAACAAAGUUGCAGGUUCUCAGUCUCCUUUUCUCUUUCUUUGCCAACUUUUUUUUUUUUUUUUCCCCUUUUCUUUUCCCUUCCUCAAUAUAAAUACCCUGGGGCAGUUUCUUUUCUUUUUGGUAUGAAUGUGAUGAUCUUUCAGGCCUGCGAUUGGCUCUGCGGCUUGUCAUCGGGGACACACCUCCUGGCGAGGGGCCACCGCCUCCCCCCUCUUGUGAAAGCUUCCCCUUGUAACAAGAAUGAAGUCUCCCAGUCACAUGUGAGGAGGAAUGAAUAUCCCUACCAGCCACUGAAAUGGCUACAGGUUAAGAGAGCAGACCUGCAGCACCAAAAGAGGAUUUCCACUUUGCCAAAGCCUGGCCCACUGAAAAAAAAAAAUACAUACCAGGUCCCUUUUGCUUCUAGAGGUACUGGGAAGGAAGACUGCUGAAUUGCAGGGGCUGUGGACGAUGUCUGUAAAAGAGCAGAGCCAGCUAAAAAAAAGGCAUCUGCUAACAAAAGAAAAUGUAUUUUAUCCAGCAGCCAGGGCCUGCAAGAAAGGGCCAGACAUAUCAGGGGAAGAGUGGCCCUGAAGAGCAGCAUUUAUGUGCUGGGUGGACAUGACGGUAGCAGCUUGACACCUAUCUGAUGGGUCGGGAUGGGAACUUGCGGUGCUUCUGUGGGCUUGUUCCAGAAAGGGCUGAGUGCGGGUGACAGCAUUCUACUCAUGCUCUAGAUGGAGCAUUCUCCACUGGGUAAAUCACUGUAGUGCAUGGGAAGCCAGCGUUGUCCCAGCUGAAACCCUGCUCCACACUGCCAUGGCAGAGUGUGGCCAUUAAAGAAGAAAGUUUCUGUGCAAGAAAGAAAGGAAGUGAUGGUCUGAGUGGAGGAGAAGACUCGCUUCUUGUUCCAGGACAUUUGGUCCUUGAGGGACGCAGCCCUGAUAUAUGUCAAAGAUGCUACUGCUACUUGGUGAGCUGGAAGGAUGAAGAUGAGGUGCAAACCAUUUGUCUUACUAAAGCUGAGUCCUCAUGAACAGGCAUUUACCAAGUGUCGGAACUGCUAUUCUGAUACAAGAUGAACCUGGGCCUUUUCAAACACGUCUUGCAAAAAUUAUAUAAGGAGAGACACCUUUCUCCUCUUGCCCUCCAGCUAUUAUCUAGCACAUAGGUGUUUGCUGAGACCAAACAACCGAACAGAUUCAGCCCUGGUCUAGAUCAGGCAGAGCAAACCUUGAGCUAGCUCUCUCAUCUCUCAUUGCUUGACUAGUAGAUUGACUAGAACCCUUUUUCCAUGUCUCUGUCCUUCAAUUCUCCACCUUCCUCCAAAAUAAAAAUAGCCACCUGCUUCCUACCCUGCAUUAGAGGAUCUUCUUUCUGGGCUUGCCAUCGGAACUGAUGUAACCCUAUGCAAAAAUGUAGGUUUUGAUGAGGCAGCAUUUUCCCAUGGAAGAAGAAGCUCUUUUGUUUCUCUCAUUAGCUCUCAAAGCAAUUGGCUCAAUGACAUGCUGUCUGUGUUUUCUCCCAGGGACCUGUUCCUGGAGCUGCUGAGAAGCUUCCUAGGUCAUGGUCCAUUCAAAAGCUUCCAGGAGUUGCAGGAUGGCACAGGCCUGGUCUGAAAACCAGCAAGGAGCACUAAUUCAUUAUGACAGCCUUGGAAAUAUGACAAAUAAUGUUAGGUGCUUUCCAUGGUACCGACUGUUCUCUGUAUCAUUUUCAGCGAGACUGGGAUUUGGGUACGCAAAACUGAGUGUACCCUCUCUGAGAUGUGCUCUAGGGUGCCUGACAUCUCUGCAAGCCAGGACUUCCCUGCCCCAUGCAUCCUAUGGGCUGAAGAGCUGGGAUAGAGUGGACAAUGUCUGGAUGUCUGGCACAGAGGGAGCAGGCAGAACAAUGGGAGGUUGUGGUGCCGGGGACAGGUGCGUCAGCGGGCCACAGAGCAUUUCCACAUUCCCAGAUGUUCUGUCCACCUCUGCCCUGACCUCUGGGCUGGAGUGGGAGUGUUUGCUCCCAGCUUUGCUCUGCAGGAUGUCAGAGCACAUUUACCCACUUGCCUUGCCUAUAAACGUCUACCAAUUCACCUUUCUUACAUAUGCUUUUCAGGUUCUGAUCUUCAACUGGCAGAGCACAGCUUCAUCCCGUUGAAAAGCCAGUGAAGCAGAUAGGACGAUCUUACCCUGAUGCAAUUCUGUUUCGUGAUGACAUGCUUGUUUCCACCAGGCAAGGCAAUGAGCCAAGCACUAGCAAUGGAGGAGUGGCGGGUUCUUUCUCCUGCAACAGAACAGUAUGGAAAGCCCAUGACUGUAACAUGAAAAGCGGGUGAAAGAGGGAGCUGCUGGGGGAGCUUAUAAUUCCCAGCUGGAAGUCUCUUGGAUAGUGCCUUGUGAUGCUGAAGGCACCCACGCUCUCCUAACAGCAGCUUAAAGAAGUCUGGUCACUGGGCAGGAAGGGCAUUUCGGAAAGUUGAACCAAACCACUGCCUAAGCAUCUGGAACUAAAGCUUGUUUCAGGUCACCUCCAUCUUCCUGGGUGUAUUGACUGUGCGGUCAGCCAGGAGCCCUGGAUUCUGCAGCAAAAUCCACCUCCUCCAAAAGGCUGUACAUCAUUUGCCUUCGUUACCUGCAAUUCCGCAGGCAUCAGAUACUGCUUUUCCUGCUAAACUGUGCCGUGCUGUUCUGAGGGCCUCUUGCUCUGUUUCUCGCUGGGAAUCAGUCACUGGGAAGCUUGAAGUCAACCGUAAGCACAGUGUGGUGAUGAGUGAGAACCAUCUUAAGCUGACAUCUUGGCCACCUCCCAGAUCUGGGCCUCAUGCACUCAUCCUAGGGGUGAGUGGUUUUCUGGGACUUCUGAUGACGUUCAACUUUGCAAAAACGAUGAACUCCUCCUCGGAGCAAAGCUCACGGCUCAGAACAAUUCGGCAGCAUCUUAAAGCAUCUGUAUGACCUGUAUGUACAGCACAGAGAGUGAAACUGAACUCAGUAACUGUUUCACCAAGCAGCAACUGGAAAAGGAUAGGAGGAACAAUAAGGCAUUUAUGCAAUGCUCCAUAUGCAUCAGCCUCAGCCAUCUGGGAUCCAGGUGAUCCGUGCUCCCAAGGACAUCCCAGACACACAGAGCGUUACCCGGGGCUGACCUACGCUCACAUCAGUUGCAUUCAUGAAACAACACAACCAAAGGAGGUGUCCAUGUCUUGCUGGAAGGAAUACCCCGAGAUAUUAAAAUGACUGUUUGUCCAAAAGUAUAUAUAUAUAUUAAUCCACAGAAACAAGAUUCCAAAAGAAAACUAAACACUGAACUUGGUCAGCUGAACUAUGUGACAGUGUUCUCUGAGCACUGCCUUGAUGCCAGUGCUAGUCUAGGCAGAGGGAGAACCUUAUCCUUGGUGCAUGUCAGCAGAUCAGUCCAAGAGUUCCAUGCAUAUCCCAAGUAUUGACAGCACCAAGUAUGGAUCCUGCUUGCACAGAAAGCUCUCCAUGUUUAAUUUGAAAUUAAGAUUUUUUUCAUUCUGAUUUUUUUCAAAACAAAAAUGAUGGAGCUAAAGUUCUAUGCAACCAGAAAAUCAAUGGAAAAGAAGGCCCUUUGAAAGCUAAAAGCUUCAAAUGCACUGCUGAUCUUCAAAACUUUGCAGAUAAAAGAAAAAAUAUCCGCCCAUUUCUGGAUUUCAUUGAAAUCAGAAAUUGCAUGCUCUGCACUCCCAUAUGAAUGUCAAAUCUUGCACCUCAUCAGCAUUUAUCAUUAUUCCCACUUAAAAAUGAAUCUGUCACAGAUGAAGUGGAAGGUCGAACGAGCUCAUUGGCCCCUGGCUGGUGCGUGCUUCCCAAAGCUAAAUUCCAGAAGAGUACACAAGAGGACAAAAAGGAUGCAGAAGAGCAACAGAAAGGAGCUCAGCUCGGGGAAAGAGGAGAGCUGCUUUCUGCACGGAUGUCUGAAAUGCCUAAACCAGCCUGAUGCUCACACCAGCUGAGCCAAACUCUGGCCUCCCUGGGGAGUAGCAUCAUGGUGGCCACAGCCUGGGGAGCUCCAGUUCAAUGAUAACCAAUUGUGGGGCUGUCCUCUAGGAAAGCAUCAGUUGCUUAAUGUUCCAUUGUUAAAAAUGGAUGGGAUUAAAGAAAAGUAAGGCCUAAAAAUACAGGCUCAAUGAACUUGCUGAGAAGGCGGCUUCUUUGCUGGAUCUUAAACCCUUGCUCAUCUCACAGUGUUUGUUUCUGUGAAGGUGUGCAUGCCGUUGUUCUACACACAUCUAAUAUAUGCAUGGCAGUGUGCCUCUUGGCUUUUUCUUUUUAUUUAAUCUUUGACUUGACAGCGUUGGAACUUGCUUCUCUGUGAAACUGGAGAAGGAGGGAUUGUUGUGUGCGUCAGGAUUUGCUAUUGUUUUGUUUCUUUCCCUUUUAUUGAGUUACAUAAAGAAUCCCAGCAAUUCCUGGCUGCUCCUGAGUGCUCAGGUGUCCAUUUGUUUAUUUUUGUUGGACUCAGGUUGUACUUGGUGCAAAGACCACCACAUUGGCCACCACUGGAUGGAUGGUUUAGGACACUGAUGAGGGCAGCUGGCCCAGCAAGGAGCCUUAUUUUUACAGCAGCAGAGAAACCUGCCCUUCACUUUUGUUUGGUUGCAUUUGUAACACCCUUCAAGUGUUUUUAAUUUGGGAUUUUCUUCUAGAUGAUCUCAGGAUGAACAACUUCCCCAGAACCCUCCUCCCAUGAAACAACAAUUCAUAAAACCAGAGAAGUGCCCAGGAGCAAAAUACCCUCCAGAUAAUUGAGAGCCAGCUUUGUGAAUUUCUGCUUUGAUAACAGAAAUCAUACAAAAAACUGAGCUGGAAGAAAUUUUUAAGGUCAUCUUACCCUUCCACCAGCCUCCAGAUAGGAUCUGCUGUGCUGAAGGUGCUGGAUUUCAGAUAGUUAUCUCAGCCAUUGCUCAGACCUUCCCAUGGCAGUGUUUUCACACAGCUAAUCAUCCCAGCAAUUCAUGAGUCUCACAACUGGAAAAUGUCUCUUAACAUCUCACCUGAAUUUCCUUUGUUGCACUUUAAGCCCAUUACUUCCUUUCCUGUCCCCAGCAGACAUGAAGAGCAGUUUAUCCUUCCUCUUUGCAGUAGCCUUUCACAUACUUGAAGGGUGUUAUCACGUCUAACCGUCUUCAAUCCCCUAGACUAAACAAACCCAACUCUUUCAGUCUUUCCUCAUAGCUCAUGUUUUCUAGCCCUCUGAUCGCUCUUGUUCCUGCCUUCCUGCUGGACGCUCUCCAGUUGGUCAACAACUGUCUUGGAGCCUGAUGCUCACAAGUGGACACAGAUUGAUUCAACAGGUUAUUUCAGGUCAAAAACAGAGAAGAGUAAUUUCGAAGUGGGAGACCCUCACCAUUAAUGACCUACUUGCACCAGCUGCAGCACCUCUGUGAAACUUGGCUCUGGGUCAAACUGGCAGUCUCCCUGAGAAGUGGUAUACUCACAGAUGAAUAUCAGCAACUCGGAUUCAUCCUGGAACCUAAAAGGCAGCUGAAGCCAAAAAAAAAAAAAAAAAGACAAACAACAUCCUCUCAAUAGUCUGUUAGUAGAAAACUCAGGGACAAAUGACAAAUGGCAUUGUCCUGUUGUCACAGAACAGGGGCUUCUUCCUUUCCAUUUCCCAACGCUUAUUCUUCAGCUGAAGGAACAUGCAGGUAUGUGUAAUAUUGCACUUGCGAAAAGUCCAAAGCAAGCCCCAGGAAGACUUGUCUGUACAUUCAGCACAGUGCAAAGCCUGGAGGGAGGUGAACUCACUUUGGAAAUCACGGCAUAUUGGCUUCUAAGCAAGGAGGAUGGACUUAUUCACUGGACCAUGCUGACACAGCUCUUGAGCUCCUGGUCCUGCUGCCAGCUCUAUGGCCAGCACUGGGAUCCUUGCAGCACACUUCAUCGUAUGGUGUGGAAUUGCCCUAAGAAGCUCAUUGGGUUGUGGGAAAGGUUUUUACUCCUAGAGUCAGUUUUCAGGGCAGAAGGACUUCUGCUGUCUGGCUUUCUUGUCACAUUGCAGACUUUUUCCCUUGAAAUUGCUCUUUCCAAACUAACCUUAAUACCCCUCAAAGAGCACUUCAUUAGCCAAAAUCUUUCGCUUCUGUCAAGAGAAGACAAUGGAAGGACGUGUCAAAACAGCUAUGCUGCUACACCUCAGGCAAGGCUCAGCUCUCUUCUGGGGAACUGCUCCAUUACAUAUUGGCUAGGAUUUGUGCCAAGAUUUGUCAGUUAAUAUUUGCAAAAUUUAAUCACAACAGCCCAGAUUCUGCAUUGCUUUAAUCCCAUUGAAUUGUUCCUUAGUCCGUGGCAAGCGCCUCCUGUUUCAAUUAGACCGUUCAUGGUUAUGGGUGCUUUUGAAUAAGAAGGGAUCAAAACCUCAUUCUAGAAAUCUGGUUUCAAAAUGUCUUCAUCCAAAAGAGGACUGCAUUUCAGCUUCUGAAUUCAUAGUAUAUUAUAAAAAGGGAAGGUUUAAAUGAAUACCAUACCUGGACCAUUGUAGCAAAUGACUGUGAGGACCAGACUUGCUGAGAAGAGGAGAUGAGUGCAGCUUGGCUCUUUGCAAUGCAUCUCCCUGGAAUUUUCCUCCUUUAAAUGAAAGAGAGAUCAAACCAGAAAAAUAAGCAGGUCCUACUCCAAGAGGCAGGAUUGCCUCCUGAGUGCCAGAUAAUAAUAAACGAUGUGUUUGUAAUCCAAAGCAGAGAGACACUGGCAUUUUCUUCGACAUCAAAUGCAAAAAGGGAACAAAUAGUUCUGUAAAGUGCUUUUACAAUGCAAGGUGAAAGAUCUUUCACAAGAGAGAGAAUACUCUCUGGGGACGGCUGUUUGUAUCUUUUCAUUUUACAUCAGCGUGAAGAAUCUGGAAAAAAAGGAGAACUGUAUACGUACCUAAUAGCACAUAAUUUGAGGAAGAAAAGAGAUGAAACUACUGUUAAGAAGAGUCAAUUAAAAAAAUAUACCCAGGAAGGAGAAGAGACUGAAGGGGAAAAAGCUUGUAAGCACUUCUUUGUGCUGAGGUUUUUUAUCUCAGCCCAAAAGUUCCUUCUGAAUGGAACUGCACAGAGGGGAAAUCCCACCUCCUCCGGGAGGCAGCCACUGUGGGACCUGGCGGGUGCUCCUGGCAGCAGCAGCACGGGGCUGCCAGGGAAGCAGAGGAUCCGUGCAGCCCAGCUGGGGGAAAUUAAUUCCAGCAGAACAGAGCUGAUUCAGUUAUAAUUUGACUAGACCUCUCCUCCACAAACACCACAUGCCCUCCAGAAUGAUAUGAGAGCAGCUCCAAAAGUAAUGCCUUCUGUGUUAAUAGGUUGGCCCACAACAUUAGAGGCAGACGUUGGUGGUACAGCAGCAGAGGUUGAACCUUCCCACCAGUAUUCCAUUACAUGUUGUUGCCGUGUGACAGAUGGCAGCAGAGGAACAGUCUGACACAAUGGCAUCUGACGUGGAAGUACGUAAGAAGCAAAGGUGUGUCACUGAAUUCCUCCAUGUGGAAAAAAAUGGCACCCACUGACGUUCACCAAUGACUGCUGAAUGUUUACGGAGACCAAACAGUGGACGUGAGCACGGUGAAAGCUGGACAGUGUGGGCAACGUUUUCCUAGCAACAAUGCCAUCGUAGCAGCUGGGAAACAGUGGGUCACUUCUGCUGGUGCAGAUUUUUAUGAGCAUGUCAUGCAGGCUCUUGUUCAUUGCUGGUGAAAACACAGAGCUAAUGGUGGUGACUGUGUUGAAAAGUACUGUUUUGUAGUUAAGAAUUUGCUCUAUCAAAUACUGUUAUUGUGCUCUUUGUAUCUGUUGUGGUUUCCAUGAAAAUGAAUAGGAGGCACUACUUCUGGAGUGACCUACAUAUUUCAUGCAAUCGUAUAGUCUGGGCUCAGUCCUGUGCCCCAUCAGAAGAUUAGAGGGCAGGAUUAAACUUUGUGCAGAACAUUUUACCUCUGUGCAUCAAUUCCACCUUUUAAAAAGUGUGACGAGCUUUAUUCUCUGGUUAUUUCCUAAAGACACAGGUUGGCUCAGCAGUCCUGGCUUCCACUGGAACACCUGCUCUUUACAGGCUCUGCUGACUGAAGGACAAGGUAAUUAGGUAACUUACCCAAAGGUCACAUGGUGAGUAAAGUAGGAUUAGCGCUCAAGUUCCUCCUGGCAACUAGUCCUGUGCUGCGACAAUUAGAAAAGGUUAACCAUCCUCUUUUAGCUUUUGUUUUCCAUCUUCCAGAAUGUGGCAGCACGUACGCAGGGCUGGGCUGCCUCACAUUUCCUCAGCACUAUUUUGGAAAAAGAAGAAAACACAAAAGAAAGCAAACAAAGAACUCACCCCUGAAAGAGCUUUGAAAAGCCAUCGUAUCUGGUAGGAUGUGGCGCUUAAGAGAGAACGGAGCAAAUACUGGAUUAAGCUAAGCACACUGAAUAUGAAUUCUGGAAAAUGACCUGCUCCCUCGAUAAUCCCCAAAGCAGCACACACAGCCACUGUGCAACGCUUUGUCAUGCUGCUUCCUGUCUUUGCUCAGAAGCCAGCCUGGCUUCCUUGCCCAUCUACCCCAUAGGUGAGGCAAACAUUAGCAAAGGCUCUGCUGGAGUUGUCCUGCCUCAGCUCCUUCUUGCCUGAGACUUCUUGUCCAGGUCCCCUUGCACAGGCAUAAGACAAUGGGAAGAGUCCCAUUGGUACUGGGUGUACCCCACAAAACGUCUGGUUCCUCUUGGUGGGUUGUCCAAGGGCCUGGGCAGACAGCUCUUCUUGGGCGCAGCCAAGUGCUGGUCUUCCUUCCUUGGGGAAGUUUAGUGCUACUUUUGUUAGGACAGCAUAAGUCAUCUAAAGGACUUCUGCAUGUGCCACAUGGAUGCCCCUUUAGACACAAUUUUGGUGGCAUCUAGAUAAGAAAAUCACCACACUCUGUGCUGUCUGCUCCCAAAGCCAUUCAGUGGGACUCUUCCUAUUGGCCUAUGCAGUGUCUCUGCAAGCCAGGGACCUUGGCUGUUUCCAAGAGAGCCUUCCACUUUCCAAAGAAGGUGGACCUCCAGAGUCCUCCUCCGGUCCCUCCAGUGCCACUCCUCCCUCCUUCUCUUGUUGGUGACUGAACACAAAGGUCAGCUGCUUACCACUGAACGCAUUUCAACCACAACCUUCAGAGGACGUGUGUGAGACAGGCUCACCUGCCAUAGUCCCAGAAGGUUCAUCCUGCACUAGGCAGUGUAACUGGGUGAUGUAUUCCUCUUUCCCACUAUAAAUAUAGCCCUAGGGUAAAGGGUUGCAAUAAAAGAAAAUCCUUUCGCCUACUGCACUAUGCAGUGGCAGUGCAGUCAUUUAUUUCCCUGCCUGCUAACUGCUUGAAAUUCAGGUAGCUCUAUGAGCUGGGAAUUUACUGGAUCAUUCAUCAUAAAGCAGCUGUUUCAGAGUCAGACAGGGACCACAGCUUCCCAAAUACUAGUUGUCAGGAUUUGCAUUACUUAAAUUCGCAGUCAUUGAGAGUAUUUGCAAAAGCGAGCCCUAUUCCUAGGCUGUGAGUGGGACAGCUUGACUUUAAAGAGUCAGCUCAUAUUUCUUAUGUGUUAGAAAGAGCACCUGUUUAAACUAUGUAGAUCUGACGAACAGUGGGUAUGUUUUGGGCACUGACCCGUUAAUAGAAAGGGUGGGGCUUUGCAGUCAUUAACAGCAAUCAGCAACUGAAACAAACACAGUGAAAUAAAUCAGCGUUUUCUUUAAUCCAAGGAUAGGCAGGAGGGUGAAGACCAGGACUGAAAUAAACUUCCAACACCUCAUGUCUCAUCCCCAGUUGCUGGCCCUCUCACGUGCCAAGAGUUGAGACACACCGAGAGUUGAGAACCUCAGAAACAUCGCUGUUUCUAUUCCUGCAGCAGUCCCAAGCACUAGUUUGUUAUUAAUGACUCCGAACUGGCAAAAGAGUCCGGAGCAAGACAUUAUAAUCAGAGCAUCUCACACUAAGAUACCAUACUAUCCACUCUAAGAGCUUUUCGUAAACCUUGAUUAAAACUCUAAGAGGAAAGGGCAAGCUUUCUCUGUGCAUUUUUAUCAGCAAGCAAUGGUGAGUUUGCAUGUUUUGCCACCUCCUUGUCACUCACUGCAGAAGUACUCAGAGGGAACAUGACUGCCCAUCUGAACCAAAGAUUUCCCUCAGCCAACUCCCCUGCAACCACAUCCCCUCACGAGUUCUUUCAGCAAGACCCUUAGAUUCUACCACUUUGGUUCUACCAUUCAUAAACUGAUGUGCAAGCAGCUACAUCUGCUCAUCCGCCUUUGUGAAAGCACCCAUCCAUCAGCCACCUAAAAUAAGCAGCUGGAGUUACCCCUCACCUACAGCUCUGAGGACAUCACCGAGUUUGUGUAACCUUGGGUGGCUGCCUGCUCCUGGGGCAGUCCUGGCAAAUGCAGUUCUCACCUGCUCUGUGCAUUAGCAUUGUCCAUCUCAGCGGCCCAAAAGGUUGGGUGCAGGGUUAUGUAUGCCUUCUGAAAUGGGCAGUGAUCUCUUCCACGGCCACUGAGCUCAGAAAGCAUGCCCUGUACCUACAAGACCAGUCACCCACCAAAAAGUGAAAUGGCAGAAAGCACUUGUGUACAAAGCGCUCAUGGCAUUUGCACAGGGCCUUGACUGGGUGCUGGACACAUAAUACUUCUGGAGACUCUGUAAGUCAUGCACAGCCCCUGCUGUAUCACAGCCAUGUAUGGUCACUUGUGACUUGGUAAUGUCAUUAGAGGUCACCAGCACCACCAAAAAUUCUUCAGCCUGGAAUUGUUUUAUGAAAGAUCAAACCUUUCAAAAAUAAUAAAUUUUUCACUACAUCAAAGACAGUUUACUAACAUUCAAUGAAAACCUUUUCCUUAGAUUCUGGAAGAAGGAACGAGCCUCAUAAAAUAAUAAAUAUCUUUGCAUUUUAUCUCCUAUGCCUCUAUCUAUGGAGGUAUUUAUAUGGCCCCCAUAACUGGUCUCUGGGCCCUUACCUGACCUGAUUAGAGAACAGAUCUACUAAACAAAGCCAUGAUUUGUGUGCACACCAAACUGGUCUUCUUAAUAUAGCUUUCUGGAGGAGAGACAAAUUUGCUAGGGAAGUGGAGUUAAUAAGAAAUGAGUUGCUGCAACAAGUUUAUUUGUUGUAGAGGACACUGUUUGGUUGCAACACGUUUUUUUUUUUGUUGUUGCUGUUUGGUUGAUGCCAUGCAAUUUAAAGAGUUUAUCCCUUAAGGGCAGACAGAAGAGCCAAUCAAAACACCGGGGGCCUGAAACUUCACUAUACAUCUCAUCUUUUGCAAAGCAGAAGCAUUCAUAUACCUGAGUCUCGGCCCACUGGUGAAUUCCCCAUGAGUGGGGAUAUCAACAGAAGAGAUCCUACAAUCUCUUUGCAGAGAAGUAGGACAAAUGAAAGUGACCAGACCCAUGGUGCACCGCAGCUACCCUACAUGCCAGAAGAGGCAUCUCUGUCCCUUUGCCACUGCCUGGUCCAGUCCCAGCCUCGGGGCUGCCUUGUCCCUGUAGCCAUGCCCUGUUUAUGGGAAUGGGGGAUGAGUGCUGAGCCUCACUUCUACUUCAAUGGGGACUCUGCACUCUGCUGAUAGGAGGGAACAAGUUGCAACUUUCCUGAGAGCGAAAGGCCACUGCCCUUGGAAGAGCACCUGCACAAUAAGUCGUUUUGGAGGAUUGCUGGGCCAACCUGGGAUGCUGGAACUUGUAAGCUAGCAGCACCAAAAGGUAUGCCAUGCCCAAUCUCUGAAGCAAUACCACAAUCUGCACUGCUCUCCAAAGCAGCACUCUUACACUUCCAGAUGAUCUCAGACAACACCUGGGAGGCCCCAGCCACUGACUCGGAGAUGCCACUUGAAGUCAUGGAGGGGCUUAAGAGGCCAAGAGACUUUUUUUGCAGGGUUUACUUCUUGAAAUGCUUUCACCCCAUUGAAAGAUGGAAUGCCAAAACCAGGCACAAAACCUCUCAAAGAAAGCCCUUCCAGGCUCCAGCUCAGCAUGCCACCUGCCGUCAUCAUUUCUCCAACUGUUCUCAGGGGGCUCUUACAGCAGACGCAUUGGGCUGCAGCCAAGUUGGCAUGAAGUUUGCAUGAAUCUUGAGACAUUUUAUGACCUUAAUAAUGUUUAGCAGAAAUAAGCAGGGCUGUUUGCAGCUCAGGCCCAACCUAGUUAAAAGCAUUUCUUAGCAGGGUGGUGGGCACAUAAAUCAGUGUCUAUCCUCUUGCCUCUCUGUCAUUGACCUUUCUGUGGGAGGAGAAGCUGCACAGAGACAUGCGGAUUGCAGAGUACGCUCAUGUGCCAUUGUGCUGGCACCGUAUCCAUUACGAGCUUCUGCCCUUAUUCUUAGAGGACAUGUUCCAGUAAUAAUAUACCCCAGUGAACUUUUCCAUUAUGAGAUCAUGAUUUCUUCCAUGGGAGAUUCAGUAACACGUUACAAUUUACUAGCCUUUAGUUAGCCAGUAAGAAUUUUCUCACUGCAGCAAUGCAGUGCUGCACUUUUCUGAAGUGAUAAAGUCGUGUUCAACCUUUUAAACAGAGAUUCACUUCCACUUUUACACCUGUGAAAAGGAAACUUUUCUUGCAGAAAACUGAGCCUGCAUUUUCAUAUACUGCAUUUUAUACACCUGAUUUAUGCUUCCCGUCAGACAGCUCUGAAGGCCAAAUACUUGGACUGACAACCAUGAAAAAAUUGUGAGCACAGGGACAAAAAGCAAAUGCUAAUUUUGCUACUGAGAUCUCUGAAAGGGAGAUUUAUACUUUUGAAAAUGCCUAAAAAGAAACUCAUGAUGUUGCGAAUAAAGCGUCAAUAUAUUUUAACCAGGACAGGGCAUCACUGUUGAUUUAUAUUGAUGUAAUAUAAUCAUGCUUGUUACAAUCAUUUCAAAGGGAAGAUAUUCACAGAGAAGUGCAAUGGAUGACUCAGGUCUUUGUCACAGCAAAACAAUAAAAACUGCAGAAUUUAUAGCUGUAUAAUCAGGUUUUUAUUAACACCAAAUGUAAUUAGAUAACAAAGUCCAUCUCCUAAGCCUUUUCUCAAGACUUGAUCUGACCAAAGUUCUUCCCUCAAGAGGCUUUGUUUAGCUCAGAUCCUAGAUUGCAUGAAAAUGGUUCUUGGUUAGAAAACUGCACCCUACAGAGAGACUUAAGGAACUCUAUCUAUUUGGCUGAUCAAAGAGACAGCUAAGAGACAACUUGAUGGGGUUUAAGAGUGUCUGCGCAAAAAGCAUCUAGAAAGAGGGGUUCUUUGCUUGGAAAUGUGUAAGUUGAAGUGUGAAUAAUUAAGAGCAGAAACAAGCCUUUAACAGUGAAGGCAUUAGCACUGCAGUAGAUUCUCAUGAGACUUCCAGAUUUUCCAUUCUUUGAGGUUUUUCAUAGACAACAUCUCUCUCCCGACCCCCCCCCCCCCCCCCCCAAAAAAUAAGGCAGAUCAUUGGUGGGGCCAAACAUAAAAUAAAAAGAUUGACUGCAUGAAAAAGCUACUGCUCAUGGCUUGGCUCAAGUAGGUAUUCACAUAAAUAUUUCUAGAGCCCCAAUCCAUUGCCUUAUCUGCAUCAGUAGGCUGCAGAUCCCAUCUUCAUGGCCAGUCUUGAAACAUGCCUAGGCACUGGCUCUGUGCAGAGGUGGAGCCUCAAACAAAACUGCUUUGUUUUCCAGCCAUUACCCCAUUCUUCAGGACCAUGGCUGACUGGAAGAUCUGGUGCUCCACUGUAAGUUUAGAGUAUGUGGUUGGUAGUUUGAAAAUGUAAUGGGAACAUUUAGCUCCUUUCUCAGUAUGUGAAGUGCACAGAAGAUGAAAUUCAGAUUAUAAAGAUCUGCACACAUUUCUUUCUCUCAGUGUUCUCUCUAUGCCGGAGUAAUUUUAAGUUUGGGUCAGCUCAACUCAUACAUCAGACCUGCUCCCAGUAUGAAAAUCACACUGGAUUCUUCCUUCUCCCCAGAACUGAUUCUAGGUCCUUGAAAUAAUCUCACAAGAGUCUUCUUCAAAUAGCUUUUUUAAUCCCUUCAGUUCUUUGCCCUGUCCUAUUUCCAUUCUCCGACGCUCUCUUUGUAGAUAUGAGCCACGUUCCCACCGACGUCAUUACCAUAUCAAUUGUUUGCUCCGAGGACGGUCAUUAUGACUCCGUUUGUCUCUGUUAUUACUCGUUGCCCUUAGACUGGUGCUAGAGGCCUUGUCGGCACAGCCAGAAACAGAAAACACUGCGUGAUAGGGCAAUGACCAUAGCAACAACAUCACAUUAAUCAGGGUUUGUACUCCGUGUGAAGACAAACUUCCCAAACCAUCAAACUGUGUGAUACAAGAGAGCAUAAAGUUCCCUAUCAGUUGAGAAACUACAAAUCCCCCAAAUAUUCACUCCUAGACCUUCCUUCUGCAGGUGAGAGCAUGAAUUGGCCUCCAACAGGUUAACCCCUCAUAACACUUUCAGAGGAUAAUCAACACUUAAUGUCACGGUAGAUGUUAGAGCAAAAGACAUCUGAGCCUUCUGAAGCUUUUAGUUUGCAGCCCUCAUUGGGUGCUGAUAAUUUGGUUUCCCUCAAUUUAGGGAACACGAUUCAGACAGUUAAGGCUGAGCAGCAAACCUUACAAAUGCCAUGGGAUUUCUAGAAUUUAGGCUGAUUCAGG